rnacentral:rRNA from 1 species
GAUGAACGCUGGCGGCGUGCCUAAUACAUGCAAGUCGAGCGAACGGACGAGAAGCUUGCUUCUCUGAUGUUAGCGGCGGACGGGUGAGUAACACGUGGAUAACCUACCUAUAAGACUGGGAUAACUUCGGGAAACCGGAGCUAAUACCGUAUAAUAUUUUGAACCGCAUGGUUCAAAAGUGAAAGACGGUCUUGCUGUCACUUAUAGAUGGAUCCGCGCUGCAUUAGCUAGUUGGUAAGGUAACGGCUUACCAAGGCAACGAUGCAUAGCCGACCCGAGAGGGUGAUAGGCCACACUGGAACUGAGACACGGUCCAGACUCCUACGGGAGGCAGCAGUAGGGAAUCUUACGCAAUGGGCGAAAGCCUGACGGAGCAACGCCGCGUGAGUGAUGAAGGUCUUCGGAUCGUAAAACUCUGUUAUUAGGGAAGAACAUAUGUGUAAGUAACUGUGCACAUCUUGACGGUACCUAAUCAGAAAGCCACGGCUAACUACGUG